UGAGGAAUAUUGGGCAAUGCCCGCAAGGGUGACCCAGCAACGCCGCGUGGAGGAUGAAUGUCGUAAGAUUGUAAACUCCUGUUAGAGGGGAAGAAUAGUACCGGUUGGACCGGUAUAUGACUGUACCCUCAGAGAAAGCCCCGGCUAACUACGUGCCAGCAGCCGCGGUAAUACGUAGGGGGCAAGCGUUGUCCGGAUUUACUGGGUGUAAAGGGCGCGCAGGCGGGAUAAAAAGUCAGUGGUGAAAUCCUACAGCUUAACUGUAGAACUGCCUGUGAUACUUUUAUUCUUGAGUUCGGGAGAGAGAGACGGAAUUCCAGGGGUAGUGGUGAAAUACGUAGAUAUCUGGAAGAACACCAGUUGCGAAGGCGGUCUCUUGGUCCGACACUGACGCUGAGGCGCGAAAGCGUGGGGAGCAAACA
rnacentral:rRNA from 1 species